rnacentral:rRNA from 1 species
CAAUAGCGUAUACUAACGUUGUUGCAGUUAAAAAGCUCGUAGUUGGAUUUCUGAAGGUGGUUGGAUUGGUGUGACCUCGCGUUGCCUCAACCAUACUAUUUUCAACAUAUGCGAUGAAUUGGUGUGGUUAAUUAAGUUUGAUCCGCCAUUAAAUCGCUCGUUUACUUUGAGAAAAUUGGAGUGUUCAAAGCAGGCAUAACGCCUUGAAUAUGUUAGCAUGGAAUAAUAGCAUAGGACUUUGGUUCUAUUUGUUGGUUGUUCGAGAACCGGAGUAAUGAUUGAUAGGGACGGUUGGGGGCAUCUGUAUUCUCAAGCGAGAGGUGAAAUUCUUGGACCUUGGGAAGACGAACAGCUGCGAAAGCGUUUGCCUAGGACGUUCUCUUUAA